UAGGAUGUUGUUGGGGAAGGCACUUGGG
rnacentral:piRNA from 1 species